CUUCCCAUUGUAGUGCUACUUAUUUGCUCUUCAAAAUAAGAGGUUCUGCUUAUGGGAUAAAGAAAAGUCUGUCAUGGUCAAAGGAGAAGAAUGAUAUUGCUUUCUUCCUAUAUGAAAUGGACAUGACAUUGCAAA